CCUACGGGAGGCAGCAGUGAGGAAUAUUGGUCAAUGGCCGGAAGGCUGAACCAGCCAUGCCGCGUGAAGGUCAGUGCCCUAUGGGCGUUAAACUUCUUUUGUGCGGGAGCAAUAAUGGUCACGUGUGGCCCGACGAGAGUACCGUACGAAUAAGCAUCGGCUAACUCCGUGCCAGCAGCCGCGGUAAUACGGGGGAUGCAAGCGUUAUCCGGAGUGAUGUGGUUUAAAGGGUGCGUAGGCUGUGAGGUAAGUCAGCGGUGAAAUGCCCCCGCUCAACGGGGUGAAGUGCCAUUGAGACUGCCUUGCUGGAAUGCGGAUGCCGUGGGAGGAAUGUGUGGUGUAGCGGUGAAAUGCAUAGAUAUCACACAGCACACCGAUUGCGAAGGCAUCUCACGAAUCCGCGAUUGACGCUGAUGCACGAAAGCGUGGGUAUCAAACAGGAUUAGAUACCCCUGUAGUC
rnacentral:rRNA from 1 species